rnacentral:rRNA from 1 species
CCUACGGGAGGCAGCAGUGAGGAAUAUUGGUCAAUGGACGAGAGUCUGAACCAGCCAAGUAGCGUGAAGGAUGACUGCCCUAUGGGUUGUAAACUUCUUUUAUAUGGGAAUAAAAUGUUCCACGUGUGGGAUUUUGUAUGUACCAUAUGAAUAAGGAUCGGCUAACUCCGUGCCAGCAGCCGCGGUAAUACGGAGGAUCCGAGCGUUAUCCGGAUUUAUUGGGUUUAAAGGGAGCGUAGGUGGAUUGUUAAGUCAGUUGUGAAAGUUUGCGGCUCAACCGUAAAAUUGCAGUUGAUACUGGCAGUCUUGAGUACAGUAGAGGUGGGCGGAAUUCGUGGUGUAGCGGUGAAAUGCUUAGAUAUCACGAAGAACUCCGAUUGCGAAGGCAGUUCACUGAACUGCAACUGACACUGAGGCUCGAAAGUGUGGGUAUCAAACAGGAUUAGAUACCCUUGUAGUC